AAGGGGGUGUUAAAUAAGGAAGUGAGGUUUGUAGUUGUUUACUGGGCUGUUUUUCAUAUCCUGGGAAAGCAA
rnacentral:tRNA from 1 species